rnacentral:lncRNA from 1 species
GUGUUGGGGAGAGACUCUGUCUCAAACGUUAAGGUGGAAGGAGGACAGGCGGUUCAGCAGUGAAGAGCACUUUUCACUCUUCUAGAGGACCCAGUGUUGGGUAGCUCACAACAUCCUAUAACUCCAGCUUCAACAAACUCCACACCCUCUUAUGACCUUCACAGACACUCCACAUACUCACAUGCACACACCCACAUGCACACACUCACAUGUACACACUCACAUGCAUACACUUAUAUGCACACAUGCAAGAACUCACAUGCACACACAUGCAAGAACUCACAUGCAUGCACUCACAUGCACACAUGCAAGAACUCACAUGCACACACCCACAUGCACACACUCACAUGUACACACCCACAUGCACACACACAUGCAUACACUUAUAUGCACACAUGCAUGCACUCACAUGCACACAUGCAAGAACUCACAUGCACACACAUGCACAUACUCACAUGCACACAACUCACAUGCACACACUCACAUGCUCACAUUCACAUACAUAUAUCCAUUUGCAGACACAUGCACACAUACACAUAAAGAGCAAAAAAAAAAAAA